CCCUGAUAGUUGAAGGGAUGGAGAGUGACAUAGGCUACUUUUUAAGACACUGAUUGAUAUUGUAUUUUUAUUAAUACUUAGUUUAUGAAAAUUGUUUUCUAGAACCUGUAACUCUUAUUCAAGUAUUAGGUAAUUAUGUUCUACGGUUUGUUAAAUACUAAGUAAUUUAGUUAUGAAUGUUUUCUACUCUAGACUGUAUAUAUAGCACUGUUGAUUAUGUUGCAAGUUCUCCGUGGUAUGAUAAGACCCGUUGAAAUCUUCUAUCACUGCAGGUAAUUGAAAUAAAAUUUUAUGCCCCACUAGUUGUCUGAACACGAUAAUUAAUGAAUGAAUAUUUUUAUUUCGUGUAACCAUAGGCACAUGUUAUUAGUAGGACUUAAUGAAUGAUGGUGAUUUUAUAAAAUCCAUUAUUUUUUCAGCUUUAUGUGGUCGUUACUUUUACACAUAAUGGCAUGGAGUACCUAGUCAGCAUGAAGCCUGGGAAAAAGAAAAAUUAUAAAGAAAUCGCGAUGAUUCAAUUUCGUUCAAAGAAGACUUUUGAAUAGUCGCAGUCCUGUUGUGGAAUUGCCCCUUCCUGCUAAAGAUACAGGGUCUAGUGUUGUAGUAACACCAGUGUCAACGUUAAAUGCCAGAUAGCGAAAACUGCCCGACAUCUGAUUCCCAAAGUGGGAAUGACUUCCCGACAAGGAGGAAGAACAAAACACAUAGCCGACACCGAUAGUCUGGAUACUGGAUAGUUGUCAGAGCGUUUGUAAGUCAGUGGAUGUUCUCACAGAGCUGAAGGAGAUAAAACCUUUUGUUACGUUUAUUAUGAGAAAAGUAGAAGCGAUCGAAUUAUCAAUAAUAAAUGUUGCUUCGGAACCGAAACCAACAACAUUGUAGUUGCCUAAAUUACCUCUGACUCAAAUAAGCGAACUCGUGAACAUGGAGGCGAUGCUAGGCGAGGAAAACGUUCGAUCGCAAUUGUUUGAUAUGCUAAGGCAUACACGAAGAAUCAAAGAACGGGACUGUAUCAACCGCUGUCUGGAAAAAAUCUCGGAUUACUUGGGGCAGUAAUUGCUCUUGGACGGGGAAAAAAACAAUUUCAGAUUGUCUUCCCCAAAGCUGAUGAAUGUUAUAAAACUUUGAUAUGCUAAGGCAUACAGGAGGAAGCGAAGGAACGGGACUGCGUCAACCGCUGUCUGGAAAAAAAUCUUGGACGGGAAAAAAAGCAAUUUCAAAUUGUCUUCCUCAAUGCUGAUGAUGUUAUAAAACGUGCUGUAAGGCAGACAUUUCCAAACGUUACAGAUGAUAUGGUUUCAACAUGGUGGGACCCGAAUUAAGCGACAAUAAUUAGUAACAAGAAACAAUUAUUUUUAAAUGCAGGUGAUGGAUGAUGACAAAACCUUAAACUAGUAGAAUUUUAUUAAAUACAAGACAUACGUUUAAGUUUCCAAACACUAAAUCGGAGUAACCAGCGUGGUUCAAAUUUGUAGCGUAGUUGAGCAAUUUUAGUUUUUAAGUUUUGCUUCCCGUGUUUCUUAUUAUUGUGAUAUAGUCCGAGUUCUUAACCAAAUGUACAGUCCGGUCUGGCAGAAAGCAUGAAACUUGGCAUGUAUAUAGCUUAUAGGUUUAUAAGAAAAUAUGGAAGUAGAAACACGCCGAGGUGUCAAUGUUUCCCCUCUUUCCCCCCACUUUUGUA